UCCGAGAAUUCUUGUCCUUUGGUUUUAACUGUGGUUUAAGUUGGGGUGUGGACCCAUAUACUUGGCUUCCCGGUUUCAGCCCCAUCAUCUGGGCCUAGAACAGGUCCCCCAGUCAGAUGCAUAUUGGUAUGUCCCAAGCUCUCACCCUGUGAUGGCUCACUCUUGGAUGCUCUCUAAUGGUUCCUGAAGACCAGAGCUCCUGAAGCAGAGAUUCACUUUCAUUUCCCCCAGUUCAUUCACGUCUUCUCUCAGAAUUGGGAUGGAGGAGGAGGUAUCAACUCUUGUUCCUCUUGGUAGAAGUUCCUAGGAAGAGGGAAAUGAGGACUCCGGGUGUGAUCUAACCAGAGGAACUAGGAUCUCAGCCAUGCACUAGGGGCAGGGGGUGGGGUAUCACACCCCCUUUUUGUCCUUCCCUCCUAGACUGGACUCUCCCUCCCCCACCCACCCCUCACAAGCCCCUAGAUACACUCACUCUGUACCUUCUCUUUGUCUUGAGAUGCUGAUGAAUUGGAUUUCUUUGCUGCCAGGAGUAUAAAUAUUUUUCUGUUGCCACUCCCACCUAGAGCCAGCUGGCAUGUCCGGUUAGCUCUGGUUUUUCCCACUUCUCUCCUUGUACACACCCCUUGUGGUGUGCACACACAGAUAACAAACGUGGCAUUUGAAGGGUUGUGUUCCCAGCUUCAUAGCUGUUGGAUCUUGUAGGGAUUUAUGUUAGGAUUCAUGUCUGGCCAGCUUAGCCAGA
rnacentral:lncRNA from 1 species